GAUGAACGCUGGCGGCGUGCCUAAUACAUGCAAGUCGAGCGAACGGACGAGAAGCUUGCUUUUCUGAUGUUAGCGGCGGACGGGUGAGUAACACGUGGAUAACCUACCUAUAAGACUGGGAUAACUUCGGGAAACGGGGGCUAAUACCGGAUAAUAUUUUGAGCCGCAGGGUUCAAAAGGGAAGGAGGGUCUGGCGGUCCCUUAUGGAGGGAUCCGCGCUGCAUUAGCUAGUUGGUAAGGUAACGGCUUACAAAGGCAACGAUGCAUAGCCGACCGGAGAGGGUGAUCGGCCACACUGGACCUGAGACCCGGUCCAGACUCCUACGGGAGGCAGCAGUAGGGAAUCUUCCGCAAUGGGCGAAAGCCUGACGGAGCAACGCCGCGUGAGUGAUGAAGGUCUUCGGAUCGUAAAACUCUGUUAUUAGGGAAGAACAUAUGUGUAAGUAACUGUGCACAUCUUGACGGUACCUAAUCAGAAAGCCACGGCUAACUACGU
rnacentral:rRNA from 1 species